rnacentral:snoRNA from 1 species
AGGAGGAUGAUGAAAACAAUCAGACGGAUUCCCAUUGAUUUUUUCUAUGAGAACAUAACCAGCUACUUCUGACUCUU